AGGUAUAGAGAGCUUGAACUUUGAAGACGAGAGGGUGAAUUAUAAGGCACGCUCUUAGCCGGUUCUUCUCACUCAUUCCCCCGUACUGUAAAUUUUGGAACGGUAUACAUUGCUGGCACGUGGGGGGUUGUGUAGUACGGAAAGCUACUUGAUGGAAAUUAAUGAGUACAAAUAGGAACCUUGCAAAAACGACACUAAGAGAUCAAGAAGUUGCAGGCCCAAGUUCAAUCUUUCUUGCUUACUAUCAAUACAAUUUAAAUUGACUUGCUUUGGAUCCAGUCAUGUUUAGUUUUUUAUACCAUUACAGUUUUAACUUCCUAUUAAGGUAUCAUGGACUGUCUUGUAAGUUGUAUGAUUCUUUGUACAAUUUUUUGAUGAAUUUGAAGUCUUGUUAAGCUUAGCANAAACAUCGGCCGAAACUCAAAAU
rnacentral:lncRNA from 1 species